UACCGACAGAUCGAAAUUUCCAGGAAAAUUCACUACAUUUAAUUUUCGGGAAACCAAACAUAUUCCGGUCACCGCGUGGGUGCAGAUUCUUUGCGGUCUCGUAAUUGACAAACUGUUCAAAAGAAUCUUCUACAGCGACGACGUUUUGGACAUCGAAACCUCCGAUUCUAAUGCCAUUUUCUCAGUUGCAAAUAGAUUAGAGAAGCUUUAUGGAGGUAAGGCACACGUGGGGCUCCGAAUUCUGGAUCCGGAUACGGGAUCUGUAUCAAUCAAUGGAGAUGGCAGCUGGGUUUGUGAAGGCCAGCAUGGGCACAGAUCACAGCAUUAUCCUGACCCUGUAAGUCAUAGUUAUAUAUAUCUCUUCUAUAGUGACUUAAUUAGGCAUGCUUCUUGUAUUGAUAGUGCCACAUGGCUAUUCUUAAAAAUCAAUCACUGUUAUCUAUGAUGAAUUUAAGACGGUAAAUUUUUUUGCUCCUUUCUUGUUGCAGUUGCUGUGUCUGUAUUAACUGCAUAGCAUUCUAUAUCUUAUUCAUUUCUGAACUUCAUAUUUUGUGGGCAAUCUAAUUUGUAACGACAUUGUAAUAAUGUGAAUGAUCUAAAGAUUACGAUGGUGUUUUUCAUUGUUAAAAACCUGUUGCCAUAUGUUGUGAGCUCAGUAGUAUUUCACUGUGUACAACUCCUUUAUGGAACACUUGUUCUCCAUUAUUUUAGAAGAUGGUUUAAUUAGAUUUUGAAAUAUUUCUUUUCAUUUGAUUUUCUUCUCCAGUCCUUAAGUCUCCAAUAUCUGUAGCUUCACAGAGGAAAAUACACUACACAGAUAUUUUUAUUAAUAAUUUAUUAUUUCUUUUGUAAUUUCUAUGUCUGAGGUGAAGGUAAAAAACAAGCUUCAGUUCUUGAAUCAUAUCUUGAGCAAAGGGGAGUUGCCCUGUCAGAAGUAUAUUUCUUGUACAAAGUGAUACUUCCUAAUCCAAAAUUUUCUUAUGUGUUUUAAUCUCCAUAAUGGUGUGCCCAGGAUUGCAGUUUAGUAUAUUCUGCUCUCCAUUUAUUCAAGCAAUUUUCCGCCUGAGGUUAAUACCUUUGGGCAGUGGACACUAGUGAAACCAGAACAAAAAAAUAUGUUGUCUGGCUGGCUUAAGGGUGCCUUUAGUGGUGGAGAAAAAGAGAUGCAGGAAUAUAUUAAUCAGCAACUCAAUUUCAUUCUCAGCACAGCUCCAAUCUGGGAAAGUUUUUGUUUUUUUUUCUUUCGAUUUUUCUGUUCCUUAAUAUUCUGUGCUUAUUUAUUUAUUUAUUUUUUUGCAUAUUGUUAUAUUGAAUUUAUGUCAAUCAACUGCUUGGUGGAUAAUAUACCAAUCAAGAAAAUCCUAGUUUAUUGAUAGUAAAACCUGCAAUCUAAUCGUCUGCAUCAUAUGUAUGUUACUCUUGUACGUAAAGAUGAUCCUGAAUAGUAGAGACUAAAACACUUGCAAAAAUAGUGAUGAAAACAAGUUUACAUGUUAGUGAUAUGUAUGUUACUCUUGUAUGUAAAGAUGACCCUGAAUAGUAGAGAUUAAAGCACUUACAUAAACAGUGAUGAAAACAAGUUUGUUGUGAUUGCUUGUUAAAGUUAUGAUGCUUAAUUUUUUUCCAAGGAUUUCUGGUCCAUCUCCCUGAAUUUUCUGAUUGCUGUAAAAUUAAAACAAAACUAGCAAUAAUUAACUGUUUUACAUAGACCUAUCAUCCUUGCUUCUGUUCUCAUAGUGGAAAAAGAUUGUGAUCUGAUAAAAUCCGCAGUUUGUGGUAUCCUUCGCCACUUCAAACAGGUGCUUUGCCCCUAGCUGGUGCUAGAUAUUAUCUCAUAGAUAUCCAGACUAAUGAUUUAGUCUAAGUUUUUUGGUCAUAGAUUUGUGGUCCAUCCUUUUCCAAAGAAUAUGAAAAAUCCAUGUUUGUACUGAAAUUGCAUGUUAGCACAUAGCUUUCACAUGGUAGGCUGCUACCAGCUGAUUUUAGGUUUUUAAAAUGCAUAACUUGUUUAUAAUUCAAUUUAUAUUAGGAUUCAAAUUCAAUGGAUAAAAUUAAUUCUGUGUUGUUCUCUGAAAAUAUAUGGUUAGAGUCUCUCACUCUUUGCCUGACUUAGGCAAGAUCUUGUUUGGCAUUGAUACCUUGAACAACAUCAGAAUCUAGAACAUUGAGGGUGCCCUUCAGCUUUAAUUAUUUUUGUUCAUUGACUCUAAUUUAAGUCUAUAUUUGUUGGUUUGAAUAGCCUUAGAAUUAGGUUUGACUUGUUUCAGACGUUGCAUCCCACCAAGUUUGUGGAACAAAUAGUAUAAUGUUCUCAUAUGUUUAGUGUUUCUUUGAUUGAAUUUUUUUCCAUCAUAAAUUUGAUAUGUUUUGUACAUUGUAGCCACUUUGAGAGAAAAGAUAAAAACCUCUCUAUUUAUUGAUAGGUUGGAACUUAAAGGUAAUAAAUAUGUCCUAGGGGAA